GAUAUCUUGAGUGUUCCAAUUUCUACAGUUGCUUCUGAAUCGGCUUUUAGCACCGGUGGUAGGAUACUUGACCAAUAUCGCAGUGCAAUGAAGCCUGAUGUUGUUGAGGCAUUAGUUUGUUGUAGAGAUUGGUUAGCUGGAGGGAAAGAAACUACUGAGGUGGGGUUGAAUGAUUUGACUGAAAAUAUUAUGAAUUUAUUCACAAAUGAGGAUACUGGAUCAAAACCUACUGCAACACAUGAUUGAUGAUUCUAAUGAAAAGUUUGACUCGGUACAAAGGAGGAGUAAAGCAAUGGAGAAGUGGAGCUUGAAACUGAAAGUUAUUUUGUGAAGCUUGAAAACUUUUUUAUUUUGUAUUGAUAUCAUAAAUUUUCUUGUAUAGACUCUGGACUCUAUAGGAUCUUUUACUUGUAUAGACAAUAUAGUUGUAUUAACCUUUAAUCCUUUUGGAUUGCCUUAAAAGUUAA